GGUUGUAUAGUGUAGUGGUUAUCACCCUCGGUUUUGAUCCGAGUGACCCGAGUUCGAAUCUCGGUAUGACCU
rfam:Protomyces lactucaedebilis strain 12-1054 BCR37scaffold_7, whole genome shotgun sequence.